rnacentral:rRNA from 1 species
AGGAAGACGGCCUUCUGGGUUGUAAACUGCUUUUGGCCGGGAACAAAAAGCCCCUGCGGGGGAAAUUGAGUGUACCGGCAGAAUAAGCACCGGCUAACUCCGUGCCAGCAGCCGCGGUAAUACGGAGGGUGCAAGCGUUGUCCGGAUUUAUUGGGUUUAAAGGGUGCGUAGGCGGGCCAAUAAGUCAGUGGUGAAAGCCCACAGCUCAACUGUGGAACCGCCAUUGAUACUGUUGGCCUUGAGUACCGUUGGGGCAGGCGGAAUUUAUGGUGUAGCGGUGAAAUGCAUAGAUACCAUAAAGAACACCGAUAGCGUAGGCAGCUUGCUAAACGGUAACUGACGCUGAGGCACGAAAGCAUGGGGAGCGAACAGGAUUAGAUACCCUGGUAGUCCAUGCCGUAAACGAUGAUUAC